UACAGAGGGUGCAAACGUUGCUCGGAAUUACUGGGCGUAAAGCGCGUGUAGGUGGUUUUGUAAGUCGGGUGUGAAAGCCCAGGGCUCAACCCUGGAAGUGCACACGAUACUGCGAAGCUUGAGUACUGAGGAGGAGAGCGGAAUUCCCGGUGUAGAGGUGAAAUUCGUAGAUAUCGGGAGGAACACCAGUGGCGAAGGCGACUACCUGGCCUGUUCUUGACGCUGAGGCGCGAAAGCUAGGGGAGCAAACGGG
rnacentral:rRNA from 1 species